GAUGAACGCUAGCGGCAGGCUUAAUACAUGCAAGUCGUGGGGCAGCAUGAAGUAGCAAUACUUUGAUGGCGACCGGCAAACGGGUGCGGAACACGUACACAACCCUCCUUUUAGUGGGGAAUAGCCCAGAGAAAUUUGGAUUAAUACCCCGUAACAUAGCGAUGAGGCAUCUCAUUGCUAUUAUAGCUUCGGCGCUAGAUGAUGGGUGUGCGUAUGAUUAGAUAGUUGGCGAGGUAACGGCUCACCAAGUCUACGAUCAUUAGCUGAUGUGAGAGCAUGAUCAGCCACACGGGCACUGAGACACGGGCCCGACUCCUACGGGAGGCAGCAGUAAGGAAUAUUGGUCAAUGGACGAAAGUCUGAACCAGCCAUGCCGCGUGAAGGAUUAAGGUCCUCUGGAUUGUAAACUUCUUUUAUAUGGGACGAAAAAAGGUCUUUCUAGAUCACUUGACGGUACCAUAUGAAUAAGCACCGGCUAACUCCGUGCCAGCCGCCGCAGUAAAAC
rnacentral:rRNA from 1 species